rnacentral:rRNA from 1 species
GACGAACGCUGGCGGCGUGCCUAAUACAUGCAAGUCGAACGAGAGCGACCGGUGCUUGCACUGGUCAAUCUAGUGGCGAACGGGUGAGUAACACGUGGGUAACCUGCCCAUCAGAGGGGGAUAACAUUCGGAAACGGAUGCUAAAACCGCAUAGGUCCUUUAACCGCAUGGUUGAAGGAGGAAAAGAGGCGCAAGCUUCUGCUGAUGGAUGGACCCGCGGUGCAUUAGCUAGUUGGUGAGGUAACGGCUCACCAAGGCCGUGAUGCAUAGCCGACCUGAGAGGGUGAUCGGCCACAUUGGGACUGAGACACGGCCCAAACUCCUGCGGGAGGCAGCAGUAGGGAAUCUUCCGCAAUGGACGCAAGUCUGACGGAGCAACGCCGCGUGAGUGAAGAAGGUUUUCGGAUCGUAAAACUCUGUUGUUAGAGAAGAACAAGUGCUAGAGUAACUGUUAGCGCCUUGACGGUAUCUAACCAGAAAGCCACGGCUAACUACGUG